UCAACUUCAAUUGGUGUCGAGUAAUCAGCUUUCUAAGAAUUUUAGUCUGUUAGACACUCGUCCUUGCCCUAUGAUGCUAUCUGUGUUAGCUUAAUUAGUAUUAUCAUUACCGCAUUCCAGUUCAAGUUCUACAUUGAACAGUCUCCUACAAGAAUUUGAUGAUGUUUUUCAACCUCCCAUGGGUCUUCCUCCUCAUAGAUGAUAGGAUCACCA
rnacentral:lncRNA from 1 species